GAUGAACGCUAGCUACAGGCUUAACACAUGCAAGUCGAGAGGUAACAAGAGGAAAGCUUGCUUUUCUUGUUGACGACCGGCGCACGGGUGAGUAACGCGUAUCCAACCUGCCUAUAACUAGGGAAUAACCUUGCGAAAGUAAGACUAAUACCCUAUGAUUUCCUUUGAUGACAUCAGAUUGGGAAUAAAGAUUUAUCGGUUAUAGAUGGGGAUGCGUCUGAUUAGCUUGUUGGCGGGGUAACGGCCCACCAAGGCAACGAUCAGUAGGGGUUCGGAGAGGAAGGUCCCCCACAUUGGAACUGAGACACGGUCCAAACUCCGACGGGAGGCAGCAGUGAGGAAUAUUGGUCAAUGGGCGGAAGCCUGAACCAGCCAAGUAGCGUGCAGGAUGACGGCCCUAUGGGUUGUAAACUGCUUUUAUACAGGAAUAAAGUUAGCCACGUGUGGUUAUUUGUAGGUACUGUAUGAAUAAGGACCGGCUAAUUCCGUGCCAGCCGCCGCAGUAA
rnacentral:rRNA from 1 species